AGUGAACGCUGGCGGUAGGCCUAACACAUGCAAGUCGAACGGCAGCACAGUAAGAGCUUGCUCUUACGGGUGGCGAGUGGCGGACGGGUGAGGAAUACAUCGGAAUCUACUUUUUCGUGGGGGAUAACGUAGGGACACUUACGCUAAUACCGCAUACGACCUACGGGUGAAAGCAGGGGAUCUUCGGACUUUGCGCGAUUGAAUGAGCUGAUGUCGGAUUAGCUAGUUGGCGGGGUAAAGGCCCACCAAGGCGACGAUCCGUAGCUGGUCUGAGAGGAUGAUCAGCCACACUGGAACUGAGACACGGUCCAGACUCCUACGGGAGGCAGCAGUGGGGAAUAUUGGACAAUGGGCGCAAGCCUGAUCCAGCCAUACCGCGUGGGUGAAGAAGGCCUUCGGGUUGUAAAGCCCUUUUGUUGGGAAAGAAAAGCAGCAGGUUAAUACCCCGCUGUUCUGACGGUACCCAAAGAAUAAGCACCGGCUAACUUCGUG
rnacentral:rRNA from 1 species